rnacentral:tRNA from 3 species
AGGCCCAUAGCUCAGUUGGUAGAGUGUUUGCCUUACAAGCAAAGUGUCAUCGGUUCGAGUCCGGUUGGGCCUA